rnacentral:pre_miRNA from 1 species
UUCACCUGAGGAUCUUGUUAAAAGGCAGAUUCUAAUCCAGUAGUUCUGGAGAGGAGCCUUAGACUCUGCAUUUCUCACAAGCUCUCAAGAGAUACUUA